rnacentral:rRNA from 1 species
UACAGAGGUCUCAAGCGUUUGUUCGGAUUCAUUGGGCGUAAAGGGUGCGUAGGUGGCAUGGUAAGUCGGAUGUGAAAUCCCGGGGCUCAACCCCGGAACUGCAUUCGAUACUGCUGCGCUAGAGUACUGGAGAGGAGAUUGGAAUUUACGGUAUAGCAGUGAAAUGCGUAGAUAUCGUAAGGAAGACCAGUGGCGAAGGCGGAUCUCUGGACAGUUACUGACACUGAGGCACGAAGGCCAGGGGAGCAAACGGGG